GCCUGCCCUGUGCACAGGUUGAGGACACUCCUGUGGCUGGAAAAAGCUGGAUCUGAAGGUUGUAGAAACUUGCAGAAGGAAGCCAUCAAAGUGACUUGGAAAGGCUACUUGGAUGGAAGGCUACUUGAUAACAGGCUACUGGAUGGCCAGCUCUGCACUUGGGUCAGUCUUGCUAAAAGAAAGGUCUGGAAGAAAGCGCACGAGACAUUUAACAGUGUUUUUGUGUGAACAAGAGAUGGCUAGG